GCCGGGGUAGCUCAGUUGGUUAGAGCGUGGGACUCAUAAACCCAAGGUCGUGAGUUCGAUUCUCACCCCCGGCACCA
rnacentral:tRNA from 2 species